rnacentral:rRNA from 1 species
UGACCUACGGGACGCAGCAGUGAGGAAUAUUGGUCAAUGGGCGCGAGCCUGAACCAGCCAAGUCGCGUGAGGGAUGACGGUCCUACGGAUUGUAAACCUCUUUUGCCGGGGAGCAAGCGUGCGUUCGUGAACGCGCGUCGAGAGUACCCGGAGAAAAAGCAUCGGCUAACUCCGUGCCAGCAGCCGCGGUAAUACGGAGGAUGCGAGCGUUAUCCGGAUUUAUUGGGUUUAAAGGGUGCGCAGGCGGUCUGUUAAGUCAGCGGUCAAAGCCCGGGGCUCAACCCCGGCCCGCCGUUGAAACUGGC